rnacentral:rRNA from 1 species
UACGUAGGGGGCUAGCGUUGUCCGGAUUUAUUGGGCGUAAAGAGCGUGUAGGCGGCCAGGUAGGUCUGCUGUGAAAACUCGAGGCUCAACCUCGAGACGUCGGCGGAAACCAUCUGGCUAGAGUCCGGAAGAGGAGAGUGGAAUUCCUGGUGUAGCGGUGAAAUGCGCAGAUAUCAGGAAGAACACCCGUGGCGAAGGCGACUUCCUGGCCUGUUCUUGACGCUGAGGCGCGAAAGCUAGGGGAGCAAACGGG